GUCGAAGGUGGAAUCAAUAACUGGGGUGAAGUCGUAACAAGGUAGCCGUAUCGGAAGGUGCGGCUGGAUCACCUCCUUUCUAAGGAGA
rnacentral:rRNA from 1 species